UUUAAGCAGAUGAGGAACUGUAUUAUGAGCCAUAUAAUAAGACUGCAUCCCUUACACAUAGCCAGAGCUAAAAAGAAAAACAUAUUACUGGUCCUUAGGGUGGCGGAAAGCAUUAUAGUAUACAAUACAGUCUUUAAAUAACACACAGAGAGGGAACAGGUCAGGUGAAACAGAAUAUCAGGAAAAUUAUUAAACAGGGCCAAGUCAGAGUAGUUAAAAAGCAAAGCCAGAAUAAACACACCAAAAUUCAAAAAG